AGAGAGUAGCUUGCUACUUUGCUGACGAGCGGCGGACGGGUGAGUAAUGCUUGGGAAUAUGCCUUUUGGUGGGGGACAACAGUUGGAAACGACUGCUAAUACCGCAUAAUGUCUACGGACCAAAGUGGGGGACCUUCGGGCCUCACGCCAAAAGAUUAGCCCAAGUGGGAUUAGCUAGUUGGUAAGGUAAUGGCUUACCAAGGCAACGAUCCCUAGCUGGUUUGAGAGGAUGAUCAGCCACACUGGGACCGAGACAC
rnacentral:rRNA from 1 species